rnacentral:rRNA from 1 species
UACGUAGGGGGCAAGCGUUGUCCGGAUUUAUUGGGCGUAAAGAGCGUGUAGGCGGUUUGGUAGGUCCGCUGUGAAAACUCGAGGCUCAACCUCGAGAUGUCGGCGGAAACUGUCUGGCUAGAGUCCGGAAGAGGAGAGUGGAAUUCCUGGUGUAGCGGUGAAAUGCGUAGAUAUCUGGAGGAACACCGGUGGCGAAGGCGGCAUCCUGGACCAAUAUUGACGCUGAGGAGCGAAAGCCAGGGGAGCAAAGCGGG